rnacentral:rRNA from 1 species
GUGAGGAAUAUUGCGCAAUGGAGGCAACUCUGACGCAGCCAUGCCGCGUGCAGGAAGAAGGCGCUACGCGUUGUAAACUGCUUUUAACCGGGAAGAAACCCCAGGACGUGUCCUGGGUUGACGGUACCGGAGGAAUAAGCACCGGCUAACUUCGUGCCAGCAGCCGCGGUAAUACGAAGGGUGCAAGCGUUAUCCGGAUUCAUUGGGUUUAAAGGGUGCGUAGGCGGAGCGUUAAGUCAGUGGUGACAUCCUGCAGCUUAACUGUAGACUUGCCAUUGAUACUGGCGCUCUUGAGUGCGCUUGAAGUGGGCGGAAUGUGCCGUGUAGCGGUGAAAUGCUUAGAUAUGGCACAGAACACCAAUUGCGAAGGCAGCUCACUAAGGCGAUACUGACGCUGAGGUACGAAAGCGUGGGGAUCGAACAGGAUUAGAAACCCCAGUAGUCC